rnacentral:RNase_P_RNA from 1 species
CGAGGUGAACAGGCGAUCGCGUGCCCUUCGGGUAUGAGGAAAGUCCGGGCACCACAGGGCAAGGGUGCCGGUUAACGGCCGGUGGAGGCGACUCCAAGGACAGUGCAACAGAAAGAAACCGCCGCUUAUGCGGUAAGGAUGGAAAGGCGAGGUAAGAGCUCACCCGCGGCCCGGUAACGGGCCGUCGAUGUAAACCCCACCCGGUGCAAGAUGACAUGAAGACAAGUCGGCGGCCCGCCGCGUUCUUCGCUAUCGCUGGAGCUCCGCGGUGACGCGGAGUCUGGAUAGAUGAUCGCCCACGACAGAACCCGGCUUACGGUCACGCUCGCACA